GGAAGAGCGACGCCCCCGGUGGGGUGCCUGGUCUUCAAAACCAGUGAGGUGCCAUUGAGGUGCCUGGUGGGUUCGACUCCUACCUCUUCCGCCA
rnacentral:tRNA from 1 species